ensembl:snRNA LOC120094953 U1 spliceosomal RNA
ACACUCGGCCUGAUAAGGGAGAUGCCAUGAGCAUGAAGAUAGUCUUCUCAGGCAAGGCACCCUGUUGCACUGCAGACGAGCCUACCCUGUGCUUUCCCCAAAUGUGGGAAACUCGACCACAAAACUUUUGGUGCAGGAGCUUGGGGGUGCAUUUGCAGUCUACCCUAG